rnacentral:tRNA from 1 species
AACAUAGAAGUAAAAUUUUGCAUUUAGUUUCGACCUAAAAUUAAGGAAUUUAUUGUUCCUCAUGUUU